rnacentral:rRNA from 1 species
UACGGGGGGGGCAAGCGUUGUUCGGAAUUACUGGGCGUAAAGGGCUCGUAGGCGGCCAACUAAGUCAGACGUGAAAUCCCCAGGCUCAACCUGGGAACUGCGUCUGAUACUGGAUGGCUUGAAUCCGGGAGAGGGAUGCAGAAUUCCAGGUGUAGCGGUGAAAUGCGUAGAUAUCUGGAGGAAUACCGGUGGCGAAGGCGGCAUCCUGGACCGGCGUUGACGCUGAGGAGCGAAAGCGUGGGGAGCGAACAGG